rnacentral:tRNA from 1 species
GGGGUUGUAGUUAAAUUAACAUUUAAUUUGCAAUUAAAAGAUGCCCUAAUACAAUGGCCCUCCUCAC